CAGGAGCUGGUUUUCAACAAGCAACUCCCAAAGCUGGUAGCAGUGUAGCUGCAGUAAUACAGAGCUUGGUGUGGGUUAAUUGCUAAAAUAUUUGCCCUACUUCUUGAGCAGGUUUUACAGCCCUGCUAAUCUCCCUGAGCAGCUGUAUGUGGCAGGGUGGGUGCACAGCCCAGCCCAGCCCCAGGUGAGCUCUGCCAUGGUUACAUGGUUCUGCCCACCCAGCAGUGCUGGGCAGCUAUGGGCUAAGGCUGCAGCAGCCAAGCACUUCGAGUUUCUGAAGCCUCUGUGCAGUGCUUGGUGCAUGGUUCUUGUUAAUAGCAUGCAGUUAUAGUCAUCCUUGGAUAAAAUGACAUCAAAGAAUGACUUUGGUGUGAGCUGACAUUGAGGAAUGCUACUGGGUAAAUCAGUCGGUCCCUGGUUGAAAGGCAUUAGUAUUUCCAGAUCAGGCCAGGACAGGUUUUCUAUGCACUUAACAUCAGAGCAUUCAGAAGGGGAGAGAGAGGACAUGGACAGAGCAUGCUGGAUGAGGAAAAAUGAGAAUCCUUACUCAGUCAGAGGAAGUAAUGUUAACUUCAGCACAAGACUAAAGGUGUCCGGAAUAUCUAAAAGAGAAAAUGCAGUUGUGUAUUCAAGGCAAGUCCUUCCUUUAAUUGACUGCAUAAAUGUAUAUGUACUUAUUCUGGAAGCAGCUGACCUACAAUAACUCUAAAGCAUCUAUCUGGUUCCCCUAGAAUGUUGCAUUUGCUUCUAAAUAAAUAAAUACCAUGAG
rnacentral:lncRNA from 1 species